CUACUUUUACUGUUAGCACAAUGCUAUAAUUGAGCUAAUCUUUGUAGUUUGGUGCAGGACCACCAAGUUUGUGUGACCCAUUACCUACUUUUUCCAUGCUCAGCCAUUACCCUGUCCUGGGGCAUCUGAGGGCAGUAAGGAACAGGUGUCCAAAGGAGGAAUGUUGGUGCCUAUGAGUAUGUUUUCCAGUUGUAUUGAAUUUCUUACUUGGUGUAUUUUUGACUUGUCUUAGUUUCUUUCCUUGUGGUCUAUGCUAUUUUACUUGCGAUUUGUUGGAUAUUCUCCCUGUCAUUAAAGAGUUGUAAAAUGGAAGUUAGUUUCUCUAUGCAAAUGCUUUAAUGGAUGAAGCUGAUAGGUUUAGCAUUGAUUUUUGCUGGUGUCCUUCAACAAGCAUGAAGGUGAUAAAUGUGUUUCCAUGGCUUUAGACUCAUUUUUGAAGUCUUGGAUUGUGUGAACAUUCUUAGAAACAAUAAAAUGUUUUAAUUAAAAGCCCUCGACUACCAGCUGAAUUCAGUGUCUACUAGGAAAAUGGGUAGAUUUGUUACAUUGUCCCUUUGCUCUCUAUGACUUUGUUCCAGUUGUCAAGGAACUUAAAUGGGUAUUCAGGAAAAAGAAUUCUUGUUUCCCUUUCCUCACCUUGCCAGUUAAAUAACUCCUGGUGACACUUCAGGUGGUAGAAUUGAAACACAAACCUGACUUCUGACCACAUGGGUCAAAGGCAAAAGGCAAAUGGCUUCAAAGCCCUUAGUGUGCUUAUCCAGUUCAGGCAGUGAGGAGAUAACCUCUGCUUUCCUCCCUGAGGAGUUUGGAGUAUUUAAGGGGGGAUGGGGGGGGUGUCACUUUGAAAAUAUGUUGCUUUUUCUCCUGAUUGUAUUGAGGCUGAUAUGGAAGGGUUAUUUCUUUCUGGCCAAUACUUUUUGGUAUUUCUAAAUAUUGCAAUCUUGAUUUUUACUAUUAAAUUUGUUAAUUGUCAGUUCUGGCUUUUUUGCAUAAAGAGUUGGUCCAUUAACUUGCCAAUUUGAAGCUUCUAACUAGAUAUUCCCUACUGAAAGUUUUGGAUUUGUUUUUAGUUUGUGGAGCAGUCUUAGCUGGGGACAGGUAAUUGACAACGGCAGAGAUACUUUCUUUUCCUAGGAUUCUAAGUCUGUAAUCCACAUCCUCAAUGUAUUCACAGGACUUUAAAAUUCUCUCCAAAUGAGGAAGGAAAUAUCCUGUUGCUUUCUAAUGUUUACUAAAAGUUGUGUUUAGAACAACAGAUUUUAAUAGGCAUCUUCCUUUGUUAUGUGUCAUUAGCCCUUUGCCCGUUUACCUUAGGGCUCUUUGAAGGAGAAAUGGAUGGGAGAAAACCUGUCACUUGGCGAAAGUAAAAGGGAUAAUUAACUGGCUCAGAGCUUAUGUGCAGAGUUCCAAGCCCCAAAGUUAAUCUAGAACCACUCGAUAACACCAAUAAAAAUAUUUAUUUCACAUCUGUUAUAUAUCUGGAAAAUGUUCUAAGCAUCUUACACAUAUUUCUCAUUAAAUCCACAGGUGACCAUUGUGAGGUAGAUAUUUUGUUCUAAUUUUCCAGAUGAGGAAGCUGAGACCCUAAAAGGUUAGGUGACAGGUUAUACAACUUGGAGUGUGGGAGGAGGAGAGAGGAACCUGAACAGGGCAAGUUGGGGAUCUGACUUUUGUUUGGGUAGAUGUAGGCACAUUGUAUUUUUGGCUUAGAUGCUUUAUUCAUCAUGGCUGAAGGUAAUACCAUUUACUCACUCACCGAAAAUUGUUUACAAUAAUCUAGAUGAAUUUGCUGUCUUUGGACAUCUGUCUUUUGACUGGACCCCAGUAUAUAGUCUGUGGAAGCUCACUUAAGGAGAGAGCUCCUUUUUGUUUGGUUAGAGAAAUUUUCUGUCCUAAAAGUAGAAAUAGCCCCUUCUAGGUAAGGAUGGAGCAUUUGAUCAUACUGGUUUCAUUAUAUUCCUCUAACAGUUGGAACCGAUUGUUUUUGAGUACUUGUUUCAAACUUCUGAGUAUUUUCCUUCUGGAAAAUAGCUCAGUGUUUAAAAUUUACAUGAACUUAAAAGGUUAAUUUUUUUUUAAAGAAUGUUUGAGGAGCAAUCAAUUCUGAUUUUGUCUUAUGGAUAGAAAUAGAAUUAGCCAUUUUCCUCAAGAAAAGUGAUUCUUCUGAAUCUUAGCUUUUCAGUAAUGAGAACUGGACUGUUUCCACUUGACCUCUAUUUCCUGUUAGUGGGAAACCGCUUCCCAGAGGUGCUGUGUGAAAGAUUGCUGGGGAAAGGGUUUCUAGAUCCCAGCAUAACAAGUUCAAGAGUCCAGCGAUAUUGUCAUUAGAAUAAUGGUCUUCAUUAAGUACUAGUUUUCAUAAUCCUGAAGCUUCAUUUUCACCAAUUUGAAAGGCAGCUAGGGAGGAGAAGACUAUGCAGGGAAGGAGGAAAACUCUGGAGUGCAUCACAGAGACCUUGAGUGAGUUAAGGCAGGGAAGAAGCAGAUUUGCUAUCCACUGAAUGAAAAUAAGAAGAAUUCCAUUGUCCAAGGUCAGAGCAAGAACACAAAGGUUUUAGUUUACUUAGUUAAUUCCUUAGGUUUGGACAUUACAGGAGACAUGGGGGUGACCAUAGCAAUUUAGCUGAUAAAUGUAUCAGAAACUCUUUCAUCAUUUUCUGUCCCCUCCUAUCUUAGGCUGACCGGUUCCCUGAUGUGUUACCUGCUUCUGCUACUGAUCCAAACUGCAGAACUUCUCAUUCAUCCCCAAGGCCUCCAGGCAGUAUCCAAUGGGGAAUCAGCUCUAAAAGGAACCAGACCAACGUUUUCCAGCCCCUUCAUUCUGCUUCCCUCUGUGUGAGGAAAGGAUAGAAAUGUUCAGGACAUCAUCAUACAGGCUCCUCAUCUACAAAGUUCCAGUAGCAGUGACGCCUACACGGAAGACUUGGAACUGCAAACAGGCUGGGGUCACCUCAGUGACAUCUGACGCUGUCCAACCAGAAGUUCGAUUUUUGUUCUGGGGGUGAAGGAGGAAACAGACUGUACUAAAGGACUAAAAUAAUUUGUCUAUACUA
rnacentral:lncRNA from 1 species